rnacentral:rRNA from 1 species
UACGAAGGGGGCUAGCGUUGCUCGGAAUCACUGGGCGUAAAGAGCGUGUAGGCGGCCAAAACAGGUCCGUUGUGAAAACUGGAGGCUCAACCUCCAGACGUCGACGGAAACCGUGUGGCUAGAGUCCGGAAGAGGAGAGUGGAAUUCCUGGUGUAGCGGUGAAAUGCGCAGAUAUCAGGAAGAACACCAAUGGCGAAGGCAGCUCUCUGGGACGGUACUGACGCUGAGACGCGAAAGCGUGGGGAGCGAACAGG